rnacentral:tRNA from 1 species
AAAGGGAGACCUAAUUCAGGUAUGGGACGAAAAAAAAGUAGUCCCUACCAAGAAUCAAUCCCAAAAGGUCGGAACGAGGUGUGUGGCUUUCAAACUAGGUUCUGGGUUCAUAAAAGACCUGAAUCAGGAACAAGGGCUAUUAGCUCAGGUGGUUAGAGCGCACCCCUGAUAAGGGUGAGGUCCCUGGUUCGAGUCCAGGAUGGCCCACCUGCACAGGUGGCAAAAACAAGAGAAGCGAGGAAUCAGCACCUUAUCUUACUUAUAUAGUAAGAGAGAAUGCUGGCUCUGAGUAAAGAGUCCAGAGGAACCUUGAAAACUGCAUAGAGCUAGGUGAAAAAGCCAAAAAAGAAGACCGCAAG